GGGUCAAUGAUGACACCUCAACUAGUCUCGAGGAGAGAUGAUGACAUAAAAAUCAUGCUUAGUAGGAUUACGCUGAGGCCC
ensembl:snoRNA SNORD115 Small nucleolar RNA SNORD115